rnacentral:lncRNA from 1 species
AUGGUCUUGAAUGGAAAGAACAAAACCAAACUAGAAUCACCACCCAAACAGGAGAGAAAUCAACAAGAGGGCAUCUGGCUAGGCCUGGCAUGUGGCUGCUGCUCAGAACAUUUAAAAAGCACCUUCAAAAGAAUGGCCUUGAUGGGAAGACAACUCAUUAUUCCAGAAGUUGAUAAGUGAAAGAAAAGAACCAAGCAUUUAACUGGCUUUUGCUACAUGAACUGUGUCAAGGUCCUAGUCUGAAUACCGUCACCUUGGGGUGGAGAUUUCAACAUGUGAAUUUGGAGGGGAUAGAAGCAUGCAAAUCAUAGCACUCUUUCAAUAGGUAAGAAAAGAAAAAAUGACCAAGGCACUUACAUGUUAAUGAUUGAUUUUUGUUCCCAAACACAUUGAAGUAGAAAAAUAACGAAUCCAACUGAGUGUAGUAGUUAGCAUUUUUAUGUGACUAUAAAUUGCAGUAGUGGGAGUUGGAUGACUCUGGCCUGGAACAUGAUGACUUGGCUACAGCAUCAAUUAUUUUCAUGAGGUGAAGAGCAAACAGAAGAGCAAGAGUUAAUUAUUCCACCUGGGAGCAGAAAGUUGUCAUGGCAUUUUGGAUAGAAAAGCACAGGACUAUCGUGGUGUGUGAGGGAUGGCAUGGAAAGGAUACAGCACUAAAAAGUAUAUUUUAUGGUAUUUGAGAAAUGCAGUGAGAAGACCUUGGAGUUAUUUUGAAAGUAUGCUUUGAUUGUUGGACAUUUUUCUUAAACCUGAAUUUUGCUGUAAGUUAGAUCACCUGGAUUAUGGCUCUAAUAGAGUUACAAAAAUAGUGCUACAAAUAUUCAUCUUUAAGGAUUUUUUACAUCUGCCUGUUCCCACCUUCAUAAUCUCCCUCCUAUUUUUUGUGGUAAUUCAUGUGUAUGUAAAUGUUCAUGUUUCAUAGGGUAACUGGAGUACAUGGCUACUGAGCAAAGAGAAUUGGAGGAGAUAAGCCCUAAAAUGCCCUCUAUUUGGGGGAGUUUCUCCUCCCUGAGUCCUCUUCCACAUGACAGCAUUUAUUUCAAACUCAGUAAUGUUAUUUUCAGAUAUAUAUGUGUAUAUAUAUAUACAUAGUAAUAGAUACUAGGAAGACAAAAUAAUGAAGACAAGCAUAAACAGACACAACAGCUAAUUGUCCAGUGGAGAAACUAAUAAA